GGGCGGUAGCGUAAAAGUUAACUCAAAUUUGUAUGGUGUUGGAACAUUUGCGUACGUUUGCCGUUAGGGGCGCUGUUCCAACUGCAUACAAAUUUAAGGUCGCUUUUACGCUAUCGG
rnacentral:pre_miRNA from 9 species